GUUCAGAUGUGAAAGACCCGGGGCGUCAACCUCCGGAAUAAGCAUUUGAAACUAGGCAGACUAGAGUACUGUAGAGGGGGGUAGGAAUUUCAGGUGUAGCGGUGAAAUAGCGUAGAGAUCUGAAGGAAUACCGGUGGCGAAGGCGGCCCCCUCGGACAGAUACUGACACUCAGAUGCGAAAGCGUGGGGAGCAAACAGGAUUAGAUACCCUGGUAG
rnacentral:rRNA from 1 species